rnacentral:rRNA from 1 species
CCUACGGGAUGCAGCAGUGGGGAAUAUUGGGCAAUGGGCGCAAGCCUGAUCCAGCAACGCCGCGUGAAGGAAGAAGGCUUUCGGCUUGUAAACUUCUUUUAAGAGGGAAGAGCAGAAGACGGUACCUCUUGAAUAAGCCACGGCUCACUGCGGGCAAGCCGCCGCGGUAAUACGUAGGUGGCACGCGUUGUCCGGAUUUACUGGGUGUAAAGGGCGUGUAGCCGGGCUGAAAAGUCAGAUGUGAAAUUCCGGGGCGCAACCCCGGACCUGCAUUUGAAACUGUUGGUCUGGAGUAUCGGAGAGGCAGGCGGAAUUCCUAGUGUAGCGGUGAAAUGCGUAGAUAUUAGGAGGAACACCAGUGGCGAAGGCGGCCUGCUGGACGACAACUGACGGUGAGGCGCGAAAGCGUGGGGAGCAAACAGGAUUAGAUACCCUGGUAGUC